ACUGCAAGUCGAGCGACAGACGAGGAGCUUGCUCCUUUGACGUUAGCGGCGGACGGGUGAGUAACACGUGGGUAACCUACCUAUAAGACUGGGAUAACUUCGGGAAACCGGAGCUAAUACCGGAUAAUAUUUCGAACCGCAUGGUUCGAUAGUGAAAGAUGGCUCUGCUAUCACUUAUAGAUGGACCUGCGCCGUAUUAGCUAGUUGGUAAGGUAACGGCUUACCAAGGCAACGAUACGUAGCCGACCUGAGAGGGUGAUCGGCCACACUGGAACUGAGACACGGUCCAGACUCCUACGGGAGGCAGCAGUAGGGAAUCUUCCGCAAUGGGCGAAAGCCUGACGGAGCAACGCCGCGUGAGUGAUGAAGGUCUUCGGAUCGUAAAACUCUGUUAUUAGGGAAGAACAAACGUGUAAGUAACUGUGCACGUCUUGACGGUACCUAAUCAGAAAGCCACGGCUAACUACGUGCCAGCAGCCGCGGUAAUACGUAGGUGGCAAGCGUUAUCCGGAAUUAUUGGGCGUAAAGCGCGCGUAGGCGGUUUUUUAAGUCUGAUGUGAAAGCCCACGGCUCAACCGUGGAGGGUCAUUGGAAACUGGAAAACUUGAGUGCAGAAGAGGAAAGUGGAAUUCCAUGUGUAGCGGUGAAAUGCGCAGAGAUAUGGAGGAACACCAGUGGCGAAGGCGACUUUCUGGUCUGGAACUGACGCUGAUGUGCGAAAGC
rnacentral:rRNA from 1 species